AUUGAACGCUGGCGGCAUGCUUUACACAUGCAAGUCGAACGAGUGGCGCACGGGUGAGUAAUACAUCGGAACCUGUCCUAUCGGGGGGGAUAACUGAACGAAAGCUCAGCCAAUACCGCAUACGAUUGGAGCGGCCGAUGCCGGAUGAGCUGGUGGGGGAGGUAAAGGGGCACCCAGGCGACGAUCGGUAGCUGGUCUGAGAGGACGACCAGCCACACUGGGACUGAGACACGGCCCAGACUCCUACGUGAGGCAGCAGUGGGGAAUUUUGGACAAGGGGGGCAACCCUGAUCGAGCCAUGCCGCGUGCAGGAUGAAGGUCUUCGGAUUGUAAACUGCUUUUGUCAGGGAAGCGGUACCUGAAGAAUAAGCACCGGCUAACUACGUGCCAGCAGCCGCGGUAAUUC
rnacentral:rRNA from 1 species